AACAUCGGUCCGCUUUCCCCUUGUUCACGACAGAAAAAUCCUCACCCACACCCCCUCCUCUUAUCACCGAUGGCCAUCAAUGGAAGUGUCAAUCCUUAAUUUCAAGUAUGUGGGAGCAUCAAGCCAUAAUUUCAAGUAUAAAUACAUUUGGAGGCGGGACAUGGUAUUUACGUAUGGUGAAGAAGAGAUUGAAUCUAUUGGAUGUCUUGUGCGUGAUAAUCUUAAGAAAUUACCUGAAGCCAUUCGGAAAAUCUUAAUCUUGCCAUUGUUCUCUUCUCUUCCAUCAGAAAAGAAAAUGAGUUUUUGCACCUAUGUUGGUGGAUUCAGAAAGCUACACUAGCAUUAUGCUGUUUUUUUAUAUUUAAUGCAUUUUAGCAAUUCAUAAAAAAAUAAAAGUUUUAAGUUAUUUCA